GGGGAUGUAGACCUAAGACCGGCUCGCGCUGGUCGGCUGUCGCUGCGGAAGCAAUGACGGUUGGUACGGUCGGCUGGCCUUAUGGCUGGCGUUGGCAGUUCGAGUCCGCCCAUCCCCG
rnacentral:tRNA from 1 species